UGGGGAAUAUUGCACAAUGGGGGGAACCCUGAUGCAGCCAUGCCGCGUGAAUGAAGAAGGCCUUCGGGUUGUAAAGUUCUUUCGGUGACGAGGAAGGUUGGUAGGUUAAUAGCCUAUCAAAUUGACGUUAAUCACAGAAGAAGCGCCGGCUAACUCCGUGCCAGCAGCCGCGGUAAUACGGGGGGUGCGAGCGUUAAUCGGAAUAACUGGGCGUAAAGGGCACGCAGGCGGUGACUUAAGUGAGAUGUGAAAGCCCCGAGCUUAACUUGGGAAUUGCAUUUCAUACUGGGUCGCUAGAGUACUUUAGGGAGGGGUAGAAUUCCACGUGUAGCGGUGAAAUGCGUAGAGAUGUGGAGGAAUACCGAAGGCGAAGGCAGCCCCUUGGGAAUGUACUGACGCUCAUGUGCGAAAGCGUGGGGAGCAAACAGGAUUAGAUACCCUGGUAGUCCACGCUGUAAACGAUGUCGAUUUGGGGAUUGGGCUUUGAGCUUGGUGCCCGUAGCUAACGUGAUAAAUCGACCGCCUGGGGAGUACGGCCGCAAGGUUA
rnacentral:rRNA from 1 species